GGGGGUGAAUUGGGCUCGACUUAGGCCGUCGGGUAAAAGCAGCAUGUCGCGGACGCAUGGUUAGCCGCGUUAAUAAUCCGUGCACAAUACAAACGCAAACAACCGUUUGUUCAGUGCUAAGCCAAUGAUGGUAACCCCAUCAUUUGCUGGCAUGCCAGUCUUCGCUAACUAAAUUAGCGAAGCCUCUAUCCAUCCAGCCUACGGGAUGAAAUAGAGACCUAAGUAGGAUAGUCCCGCUAUUUCGCCUUUGUAGACGGGAUGAAACAUCUAAAGGCUGCGGCUUGCAAAUCCUGCCCCGUGGGAGUUGCAAGAGUAAGUUUAAAAUUCGGGACUAAACAUGUAGCGGCUUUUAUCAGAUUGUUUAAGGACGCCGGUUCGAUUCCGGCCACCUCCACCA
rnacentral:tmRNA from 1 species